UACAGAGGUUUCGAGCUUUGUCCUUACUUAUUUUUCGUAAAUGGCGCGUAGGCGGCUUGCUAAGUAGGAGGUGAAAUUCCAUGGCUCAACCAUGGAUCGGCCUUCUAGACUGUCAGGCUUGAGCACGGUAGAGGCAGAUGGAAUUCCCGGUGUAGCGGUGGAAUGCGUAGAGAUCGGGAAGAACACCAGUGGCGAAGGCGGUCUGCUGGGCCGUUGCUGACGCUGAGGCGCGACAGCGUGGGGAGCAAACAGG
rnacentral:rRNA from 1 species